UCCCUGAUAGAUCAGUUGGUAAAGAAAAUCUGCCUGCAAUGCAGGAGACCCUGGUUCGAUUCCUGGGUCGGGAA
rnacentral:tRNA from 1 species